UGGGCUCUUCCGAUUUGCGGGGGCUAUGCCGCGAUGAGUAGGAGGGCCGCUGCGGUGCGCCUUGAAGCCUAGGGCGUGGGCCCGGGUGGAGCUGCCGCAGGUGCAGAUCUUGGUGGUGGUAGCAAAUAUUCAAACGAGAACUUCGAAGCCCGAAGACGUGCAAAUCGGUUGUCCGACCUGGGUAUAG